rnacentral:rRNA from 1 species
AGAAUCAACGCUGGCGGCGUGCCUAACACAUGCAAGUCGAACGAGAAAGGGGUAGCAAUACCCUGAGUAAAGUGGCGCACGGGUGAGUAACACGUGACUAACCUACCCUUGAGUGGGGGAUAACUGAGGGAAACCUUAGCUAAUACCGCAUAAUACCCACGGGUCAAAGGAGCAAUUCGCUCGAGGAGGGGUCGCGGCCGAUUAGUUAGUUGGCGGGGUAAUGGCCCACCAAGACGAUGAUCGGUAUCCGGCCUGAGAGGGCGCACGGACACACUGGAACUGAAACACGGUCCAGACUCCUACGGGAGGCAGCAGUGGGGAAUUUGCGCAAUGGGGGAAACCCUGACGCAGCAACGCCGCGUGGAGGAUGAAGUCCCUUGGGACGUAAACUCCUUUCGACCCGGACGAUAAUGACGGUACGGUGGAAGAAGCCCCGGCUAACUUCGUGCCAGCAGCCGC